UACGUAGGGGGCAAGCGUUGUUCGGAGUUACUGGGCGUAAAGGGUGUGUAGGCGGUUCUUUAAGUUUGGUGUGAAAUCUCCCGGCUCAACUGGGAGGGUGCGCCGAAUACUGAGGGACUAGAGUACGGGAGAGGAAAGUGGAAUUCCUGGUGUAGCGGUGAAAUGCGUAGAUAUCAGGAGGAACACCGGUGGUGUAGACGGCUUUCUGGACCGACACUGACGCUGAGACACGAAAGCGUGGGUAGCAAACAGG
rnacentral:rRNA from 1 species